rnacentral:rRNA from 1 species
GAUGAACGCUGGCGGCGUGCCUAAUACAUGCAAGUCGAGCGAACGGACGAGAAGCUUGCUUCUCUGAUGUUAGCGGCGGACGGGUGAGUAACACGUGGAUAACCUACCUAUAAGACUGGGAUAACUUCGGGAAACCGGAUCUAAUACCGGAUGAUUUUUUGAACCGCGUUGGUCAAAAGUUAAAGUCGGUCUUUCUGUCAGUUAUAGAUUGAUCCGCGCUGCAUUAGCUAGUUGGUAAGGUAACGGCUUAACAAGGCAACGAUGCAUAGCCGACCUGAGAGGGUGAUCGGCCACACGGGAAGGGAGACACGGCCCAGACUCCUGCGGGAGGCAGCAGUAGGGAAUCUUACGCAAUGGGGGAGAGGCUGACAGAGGACCGCGGGGUGAGUGAUGAAGGUGUUCGGCUCGUAAAGCUAUGAUAUUCGUGGAGAACAUAUGUGUAAGUAACUGUGAACAUAUUGACGGUACCUGGUCAGAAAGCCACGGCUAACUACGUG